UACAGAGGUCUCGAGCGUUAGGCGGAAUCACUGGGCUUAAAGCGUGUGUAGGUGGAUCGUUAAGUACCUUGUGAAAUCCCACGGCUUAACCGUGGAACUGCUUGGUAUACUGGCGGUCUUGAGUCAGCUAGGGGCUACCGGAACAAAUGGUGGAGCGGUGAAAUGCGUAGAUAUCAUUUGGAACGCCAAUGGGUGAAAAACAGGUAGCUGGGGGCUGUACUGACACUGAGACACGAAAGCCAGGGGAGCAAACGGG
rnacentral:rRNA from 1 species